UAGAUUAUGAAUCGUUUGCCAACGCAAAAAUUUACAUCUUUUAUGGUAGGAUUCAUGCCUUUUUUUUCUUAAUCAGUUAAUCUUUCAAUCUUUUAGAUUUUAUCAAUAAAUUUGAUUUGGGUUUCAUUUAUUUGUAAAACUAGACACUAUUUUGUGAAGAUUUUUCUUUAUAAUUCAGUAAAUAAUUGCUUCUUUGGCUGUAAAUUUAACUUUUGUAAAUUUCCAGGUUGUUCUAGACUUUGUCGAUACUGCACAGUUCUCUUCGCGGCCCAUUUCUAUUUCGUAUAGCAGAGCUUGAUAACAGAAGGAUUGCAAAAGAUCACUUAAUGCUUUGGAAAAUUGCUUGGUGAUUCUAUUUGGGUUGAGAGAUCAACACAGAAAGCGUAAGAAAUAGAUGAACAAAGCAGAUUGAGCUGAAUAAUCUCGGUCAAACAACAAUCAUAAUUGUAAGCUCAAGAGUAACUGUUUUUGUGUUAGUUGCAUGUCUUAGUAGUUAGCAAUCCUUUCCUUUACAUUUGAUGAAAUCAUUUAUGCAUUACUGAAGCUUUGUUAUGCACCUAGCUCUUUGCUUCUCU